rnacentral:rRNA from 1 species
UGGGGAAUAUUGGGCAAUGGGCGAAAGCCUGACCCAGCAACGCCGCGUGGAGGAAGAAGGUUUUCGGAUCGUAAACUCCUGUCCUCAGGGAAGAGAAGGAGACGGUACCUGAGGAGGAAGCCCCGGCUAACUACGUGCCAGCAGCCGCGGUAAUACGUAGGUUGCAAGCGUUGUCCGGAUUUACUGGGUGUAAAGGGCGUGUAGGCGGAGGAGCAAGUCAGAUGUGAAAUCCCGGGGCUUAACCCCGGAACUGCAUUUGAAACUGUUCCCCUUGAGUAUCGGAGAGGCAAGCGGAAUUCCUAGUGUAGCGGUGAAAUGCGUAGAUAUUAGGAGGAACACCAGUGGCGAAGGCGGCUUGCUGGACGACAACUGACGCUGAGGCGCGAAAGCGUGGGGAGCAAACAGGAUUAGAUACCCUGGUAGU